rnacentral:rRNA from 1 species
UACGGAGGAUCCGAGCGUUAUCCGGAAUUACUGGGCGUAAAGAGCUUGUAGGCGGUUUGUCACGUCGUCUGUGAAAUUCCGGGGCUUAACCUCGGGCGUGCAGGCGAUACGGGCAAUACUUGAGUGCUGUAGGGGAGACUGGAAUUCCUGGUGUAGCGGUGAAAUGCGCAGAUAUCAGGAGGAACACCAAUGGCGAAGGCAGGUCUCUGGGCAGUUACUGACGCUGAGGAGCGAAAGCAUGGGUAGCGAACAGGAUUAGAUA